UACGGGGGGGGGCAAGCGUUGUUCGGAAUUACUGGGCGUAAAGGGCUCGUAGGCGGCCAACUAAGUCAGACGUGAAAUCCCUCGGCUUAACCGGGGGAACUGCGUCUGAUACUGGAUGGCUUGAAUCCGGGAGAGGGAUGCGGAAUUCCAGGUGUAGCGGUGAAAUGCGUAGAUAUCAGGAGGAACACCGGUGGCGAAGGCGGGUCUCUGGGCCGAUACUGACGCUGAGACGCGAAAGCGUGGGGAGCGAACAGG
rnacentral:rRNA from 1 species